UGCGCAGGCGGACCUAUUAGUCAGUGGUGAAAUCCCGGGGCUCAACUCCGGAACUGCCAUUGAUACUGUAGGUCUUGAGUUUGGUUGAAGUGGGCGGAAUGUAGCAUGUAGCGGUGAGAUGCAUAGAUAUGCUACAGAACACCGAUCGCGAAGGCAGCUCACUAAACCAAAACUGACGCUCAGGCACGAAAGCGUGGGGAGCGAACAGGAUUAGAUACCCUGGUAGUCC
rnacentral:rRNA from 1 species